rnacentral:rRNA from 1 species
GACGAACCGAGCGAACGUUGUUCGGAAUCACUGGGCUUAAAGGGAGCGCAGGCGGGCUGGUAAGUCAGUGGUGAAAGCCUUGAGCUUAACUCGAGAACUGCCAUUGAUACUAUCAGUCUUGAAUAUUGUUGAGGUUUGCGGAAUGGGUCAUGUAGCGGUGAAAUGCAUAGAUAUGACCCGGAACACCUAUUGCGAAGGCAGCAGGCUAAACAAAGAUUGACGCUGAGGCUCGAAAGCGUGGGGAUCAAACAGG